rnacentral:lncRNA from 1 species
CGUCCUGACCGACAUUGUACUCUCUAUACAAGUACACACUGUCCAAGCUCAAGAGACAGCCACAUGCCCUGACCCAUCACCCUCUGUUUUUUUUUUUCCGGAAAGUGAGCUUUAUUAAUCAUGAAUAGGAUCAGCAGCAACCGCUGCAGAAACACACGGAUGAGGUUGAUUCAACAGGCAAUCUGAUCUUCGAACCUCCCGCGCAAAGUUUGCUAACAAAUCUGCAACCCUAAUCUUCUUG